CUUUUUUCAUUUUUCUAUUACUUGGAGAUCAUGAUGAAUACAGUACUUGUGAAGCAGAAAUAUUACCCAUUCUCUUUGUUAGCCCUGUCCUUCUUUCGCAUAGAAGUAGACUGCCAGCAGAGUAUUUUUGGUCACCACUGAAUAUCUGCAGUUGAGAUUAGAAGAUGGCUGUCCUGUCAUCAAUCUUUUUAUUUUUAGAAAACUUAGCCAUGGGACAGCAUAUAAGGAGCUGAGGACCGAACCCAGGGUCUUAUGCUUGCUAGGCAAGUGCUCUAUUACUGAGCUAAAUCCCCAACACAAAAGAAAACAUUUUUAAUAAUUCAAAUUUUCAUCUAAGUUUGUGUAUGCAAACACUGAUAUCCUUUGUAUUUAGAGUUUGUAUAAUAUGUUUAUAAAAAUAAUGUUUUGGGUAGCUGUAGCAUAAGUUUGGAGUCCCAGCACUGGGAGAUGAAAGGAGGAUCAGGAGUUCAAAGUCAUUCUAGGUCACAUGAUGAGUUUGAGUCAAGGCUGUUGCUAUAUCAGAUGUUGACAAUCUCUCACCAAAACAGGGAAUUAACAUCUUGUCUUAAAUGGACCAACAUGAUUCAUGUAUGACAUUUUGCUUCUAUUCGUAUUAUACAUAAAACUGUUUUUGCUAACUUUUAUUAAGUAUAUAUCAGUUAUUCUUAGAGAAUUUCAUGUAUGUAUAAAAUAUAUUCUGGACAUAUCUGUCUCUUGUUCUCAACCCUCACACUAGACCCAGACACACUAAAAAGCAGAAGUUGAGUAAUGUUUCAAAAUAUUCAUUUCACAAUUUAUUUGAUCUACAUUUAAAUUCAUGCAUUUAAUACAUUAUACAAAUUUAUAUUAACUACAGAUAUCUUAAUGUUAACUACAUAACAUGUUUUAUUCAAUUUAGCUGAGCUCUCAACUAUUAAGAAGAUAAUACCUCCUAGUAGAUGUCCUGGACCUCAGACUCUUACAAAUUUUCUGCCCCACUCUCUGCAGUGCUAACUGAAUCUUGGGUCUAUGAGUUGUAUUAUAAUAUAUUACAACGUAUUAUGUUGUAGACAUUGACUUUUUAACUUGCAUCCAUAUGUUGCACAAACAAUUGUGAUUUUGUUUACACUAUAGUUUGUGUUAUAUCAAGUAACAUCUAAAAGCAUCACCAUGUGACCAUUAACUGUAAGUCCAUUAGACUCUUCUCAUUAUGGAUGUAUCAAUGUAUAUUUGCAAAUAGCAUUAUUGGGAAAAUAAUACUGACAUUUUGUCUAGCACUGCUGGCCACGCUAAGUAGAACAAGAAAGUGAAGCUAAGAGUUACUUAAUUUUCAAGAUCAACAUGAGGUCUGUUUUUCUUGGAACAUCCUGUUCAGUUUGGCUUUCUUUGUACGACAAAACUCUCUGGUUUAUGGAUACUUAUGAUUGUGUAUGAGGGAUAUCAUACUACAACACUGAUCUUUUGAUAUAAAACUUGAUAUUUAUAUUCUUAUAUAUUAAGAAGAUUAAAAAUUAUUGUACAUUGAAACAACCUGUUCUUUCAACAAUUUAUUCUCUCAUACAAUACUAUUCAUCCUGAAAACAGUUUCCCCUCCCUCCACUCCUUUCAUUUGCACAACCCAAGACCUUAUCUUAUAGAAUCGCAUCAAACUAUAGUUAUUGGGAGGAAUGCUUAGUUUAAUUUUGAUAUUUCAUGCAUGGAUGAUGCUAUCUCCUUAUUCAUGCAAGUUAUUUAUCCUGCUUUAGCUUUGAAUAACAACUAGUAAAUAUAUUAUGUAACUCUAUAUAAUUCUACAGUGAUCUUAGCAUAUUGUAAAUGAUGGCUGUUUAGUGACCCAAACCCAGAGGCCUUAUACAGUUUCCUCUUGGGCCAGGGAUUUGGACAGGGGUGGGCAGUGUUGGUGGUCUCUUCUGCUCUGCAGUCUCAGGAGUGCCCACCUGACCAGGCGGUGAGGUCUCUCUCCCACGGGGUCUGGAGCAGAGAGCUCUUUCUUGAAUUUUUAUUGCAAAAUACUGCGAAUGAUUUUGUGUAGAGUCACAGUUCAUGGGAGAUGUGUGACAGCAAACAUAGGGGAACUAUGUUUCGCAUUUUCCCCAAAGUAAUAUGCCAAACAAUGUACAUCAUGGCCAGAUAGAUGACUCAGUAGUUAAAAGCUUAUGCUGUUUUUUCCAGAAUACCCAGAUAUAAUUCUCAGCAUACACACUGUAGUACAAAACCAUCUGCAACUCCAAUUCCAGGUGUCCAAUUUUCUCAUCCAAUUUCUGUGUACAUACCAGGCACAUACAUAGUACACAGAUAAUCUUAACACUCAGAUAAUAAAGGGAAAUAAAUAACAAAUAUGGAUCUACAUUCAACACGUAUUAUUUUUCUUGUUUUAUAAGAGAGGCUGGACCAAAUAUGAUUCUGUCAACAAGGUCUUAAAAAUGAAAAUCCU
ensembl:lncRNA